rnacentral:rRNA from 2 species
AGCAUCCGUAGCCGGUUGCAUAAGUUUUCGGUUAAAUCUAUGCGCUCAACGUAUAGGCCGCCGAAAAUACUGUGCAGCUAGGGAGUGGGAGAGGUACACGGUACUCAGUAGGAAGGGGUAAAAUCCUUUGAUCUAUUGAUGACCACCUGUGGCGAAGGCGGUGUACCAGAACACGUUCGACGGUGAGGGAUGAAAGCUGGGGGAGCAAACCGGAUUAGAUACCCGGGUAGUCCCAGCUGUAAACGAUGCAGACUCGGUGAUGCAUUGGCUUGUGGCCAGUGCAGUGCCGCAGGGAAGCCGUUAAGUUUGCCGCCUGGGAAGUACGUACGCAAGUAUGAAACUUAAAGGAAUUGGCGGGGGAGCACAAGCCGAA